GUGCUCACUUAGGCAGCACGUAUACUAAAGUUGAAUAAUACAGAAGAGAUUAGCAUGGCCCCUGCACAGGGAUGAUUUGCAAAUUCGUGAAGUGUUCCAUAUAUUU
ensembl:snRNA U6 U6 spliceosomal RNA